rnacentral:rRNA from 1 species
GACGGAGGAUGCAAGCGUUAUCCGGAAUGAUUGGGCGUAAAGCGUCUGCAGGUGGCAGUUCAAGUCUGCUGUCAAAGACCGGGGCUUAACUUCGGAAAGGCAGUGGAAACUGAACAGCUAGAGUAUGGUAGGGGCAGAGGGAAUUCCUGGUGUAGCGGUGAAAUGCGUAGAGAUCAGGAAGAACAUCGGUGGCGAAGGCGACUCUUUGGCCUGUAACUGACGCUGAGGCGCGAAAGCGUGGGGGAGCAAACAGG